GAUGAACGCUGGCGGCGUGCCUAAUACAUGCAAGUCGAGCGAAUGGAUUAAGAGCUUGCUCUUAUGAAGUUAGCGGCGGACAGGUGAGUAACACGUGGGUAACCUGCCCAUAAGACUGGGAUAACUCCGGGAAACCGGGGCUAAUACCGGAUAACAUUUUGAACCGCAUGGUUCGAAAUUGAAAGGCGGCUUCGGCUGUCACUUAUGGAUGGACCCGCGUCGCAUUAGCUAGUUGGUGAGGUAACGGCUCACCAAGGCAACGAUGCGUAGCCGACCUGAGAGGGUGAUCGGCCACACUGGGACGGAGACACGGCCCAGACUCCUACGGGAGGCAGCAGUAGGGAAUCUUCCGCAAUGGACGAAAGUCUGACGGAGCAACGCCGCGUGAGUGAUGAAGGCUUUCGGGUCGUAAAACUCUGUUGUUAGGGAAGAACAAGUGCUAGUUGAAUAAGCUGGCACCUUGACGGUACCUGACCAGAAAGCCACGGCUAACUACGUGCCAGCCGCCGCGGUAA
rnacentral:rRNA from 1 species